CACGCCCACAGUGGGGCUAAUCUGGCCCAUGCCCACAGCGGGGCCGCCGCUGCCCCCUGUCCGGCCGCCGGCUCCUUGCCCUCCGCCGAUAUGAAUUACUCUAGGUUCAUCACCACUGUGAGUGCAGCAAGAAAAGCAUCUCCAAUAAGACUGCUGACUGAAUUGAUGCAGAAGUCUCCUCCAUCUCUUAUCUCUCUGGCUGGAGGGGCACCAAAUCCUAAUGUCUUUCCAUUUAAGAGGGCAACAGUUGACAUUGGACAUGGAACACCUAUUGAGAUUGGGGAAGAUCUGAUGAAGAGAGCUCUCCAGUACUCAGCCUCAGCAGGCAUCCCAGAGCUGUUGUCUUGGCUGAAGGAUUUCCAGCGGAACUUACACGAUCCCCCCACAGCCAAUUACAGCCCUGAGCAAGGACAGAUGGAAGUGUGUGUCACAACUGGCAGCCAGGAAGGCUUGUGUAAAGUGUUUGAAAUGCUCAUUAAUCCUGGAGACAACAUCCUUUUGGAUGCACCCACAUACUCGGGGACACUAGCAGCUUUGAGACCCUUGGGUUGUAAUAUAAUUAAUAUUCCUAGUGACCAACACGGCAUUAUUCCAAGAGCUUUAAAAGAAAUUCUGUCUGCAUGGAGCCCAGAGGAUGUAAAAAAUUGUAGCAAUCACCUCCCCAAAUUCCUGUACACUAUUCCAAAUGGAUGCAACCCAACUGGCAACUCGCUGACCGCAGAGCGCAAAAAGGAGAUUUACCAGCUUGCAAGAAAAUAUGAUUUUCUCAUAAUAGAAGAUGAUCCUUACUACUUUCUUCAAUUUGAAAAGCCAUGGGCUCCAACUUUCCUCUCAAUGGAUGUGGAUGGCCGAGUUAUCAGGACCGACUCUUUCUCUAAAAUUCUCUCAUCUGGUUUAAGAAUUGGUUUUCUGACGGGUCCCAAGCCUCUCAUUGACAGAGUUGUUCUACACAUUCAGGUGUCAACAAUGCACACCAGCACUUUCACACAGAUUAUGAUAUCACAGCUCCUUCAGCAAUGGGGACAAAAGGGUUUCUUGGAGCACAUAGACAGAGUGGUGGACUUCUACAGGAUCCAGCGGGAUGCAAUGCUCACUGCUGCUGACAAGUGGUUAAAAGACUUGGCAGAAUGGUACCCUCCUGCUGCUGGCAUGUUCUUAUGGAUCAAAAUUAAGGGUAUUUCUGAUACACAGCAGCUGAUAAUGGAAAAGGCUUUGAAGAAAGAAGUAUUACUGGUUCCUGGAGGAGCAUUCAAUAUUGAUAGUUCAGAGCCUAGUUCUUAUGUCAGAGCCUCCUUCUCUCUACCUUCUCCUGCCCAGAUGGAUCUGGCCUUCAAGAGACUGGCUGACCUUAUAAAAGAAUCUUUGUGAAAAAGCUAAAUAGAGCUCUUGUAGUAAUAAAAAUCAUCUCCAGAAAAUAGUUAUUAACAUUUGGAUUUCAUCAGAACACGUUAUAAGCAAGCACAAUACAGUGGAUGUUUCCUUACAUCUUUUCAGCUGCAAAGAGAAUAUUAUCCGUUUCAUCUUUUGUGAUUCAAAGAGGUAAAAAUUCUUUUCUGAAUUUCCUAGUAUUUGGUGGGGGAAGAGAGUGAAGAUAGGAGUAUACAUCCUUCCUUUAGGAAUCUAAACCAGGAACCCCUGUAUCACUUCCAUGCUAGAAGGGUUAUGUCUCCAGUCACUCUGAGGGCAGUGGAGAAGGAGGUGCAUCUGGAUCAGGAGGCUGCAUUGCUCUGGGUCCCCUAGCUGCACUCAAGGCCCCAUCUCUGCCCAGCAAGGAGACACAGGCCUGGCAGGAGAACCUGCUGAGCCAGGCUCCCAUCCUGCCCCAGCCUCCUGUGCUGCACAGUCUGAGCACAGAACUGUGACAGGCAUUCAGGUGAGCCUAAAUAAAGCAGCUGCACACUGCAUGCUCAAAUUAACCUGCCACAGUGCCUCUCACAUGCUUAAGCAGACCGACUGUGAAAUGGCAUCUGCCUUAAAAGCCUUACUAUGGCAGAGCAUCAGAGUUGUCACUGAAUCACAAUGCCUGUCAUUUGUACAUCCCUUCAUAAGCAAUUCCUAAAAACAUCUCCCACACCAGACCUACUGCAAGAGCUGGUCCUAUGUUUUCAUUUCAAUUCUAUUUGAAGCACAGGGCAGGAAAUGGGGAAAACCCAUCAAUACAGUACCCCUUAUAACAGUAAUUAUGAGAAGUUAUUAAUAUUUAUAAAGCUUUUUAAACAGGCUUAUUUACUAGAUGUGGCUCUGGGAAUUCAUCUACAAAAAUGUCAAUUUAUGAAGGCAACAAUGUACAUAUCUUCAUCUGAAUUAUUCACAUUGGUUGAUACAAUUAAUCUUUUUCCUAGCUGAGGUUUAAAAUUGGAUCAGAUGAAUUGUAUUACUAAGGUUCUUUUUUCCUUCUGUUGCCAGUGACUCACUUUAGUACAGAGGACUUUAUUUUAGUUAUCAAAAGCUUGGUGAAUAAAAGCCCAUCUUUUAAAGUUCUUUUCAUGACCUUAUAUUGUUUCAUGUCAUGCUGGAUCUCCUGCUAGAGAUGUAUGUUAGUGGCAGCCUAGUGGAAGAUUUUAGAAAUUCAUGCAUGUUUUUUUCUUCAUUAAUGACAGCAGAUAAUAGCAGGUUUGGUAUUAAUACAACUCACUCAUUUAUAACUUUAUUUUCCCCUUCAUGCCUUAAGCACUAAUAUUUCUGUUAGUGGAAGCUGAGGGCCUGAAAAAUCUGCUAUUUUUCCUCUUGGAUAAACACUGCUCCAGAAUAGUGAUGAGGAAAUAACUCCACAGUGUUCAGACAGCUGUGGUUCCCAGCACUCUGGGAAAUAUCCUUCUCAUGGUGCAACUGUAUUCUAGUCACAUUGCUAACUUCAUACACUCAACCCAUCAUCUUUGCUGCUAAGGGUACUUUUCUACAGCAGGCCUAAAGAGUUCACUUUUCUACUUAGCUGAGAUUUAUUAAAAAUAAAAUUGGGCUUUUAGUUUAUCCCAACAUUUUGAUUAUCAGCACAGUUCUAUGAAUGCAGAUCUCAGAGAAUAUCUUGGCCCUUUCAUACAGAAGAGUACCAAUGUGCUCUCCCACAUAUUCCAGCUUCACUUUCUUGCAUAAGAUUAAACAGCAGCAGGGUUACAGUGCUGUCAAAGGCAGAAAAUGUGGAAGCAAUAUUUUGCUAGCAAAGGAAAAUUUUAAAGGAGAAAAGCUUUUUAUGUUAAGUCUUAUCAACACUAAGAAUAUGGUCCACAUAGCUGUGUUAGAAGAGCAUGAAUAUGUAGAAUCUUGGUGUGUUCAGAUGAAAAGAAAAAAUGGGCUAGAAAGCAAUGAGUGGUCUCGAACUGAAGUGUCAUUCACCACUCCAUUGAAGAAGGGGAAAGAUUAAAUAUUUUAGCAAGUCUCCAGGUGAUAAUAUUUAGGUAGAGCUUAGCCUGUAGAACUGCUGGCCUGCCUCUCAAAAUGUAGACAAGAUUACUAACUGAGAAAGCAACAUUCAAAUUAUUCAGCAGUCAUACUGAUGUUUCUUGUUUGGGUACCAUUAUUCCAACCCUUUCAUACAUUAAGAGUCUUCCUGAAGCAUGUAGUUAGGUGAUGCAUUUGUAUUAUACAUAAAAUUUUAAUUUUCCAUUGCCAAAACCAGCAUAGGCACAUAAAAGUUCAAGUAACAAUAAACAUGUCAUAGUGCUACUGAAUAUGAACUGCCCUGGGUGAACAGAUGCAUCAUCAUGUUUUUCAGGAGAAAGUGUUUGGAUUUACAUUGUAUUUACGGGCCUUAGUUCUCCACUCAGUCUUAUCAGCAAAAUAAGAUUUUAUUUUCUCCACCAGAUAGUAUCAAACCAGGUCUGGAUUUCUUUGGUUUGAGGUGGUAAUAAGUCAAUUGCUGAAACAGCUAUGACUUCAGGAAGGUGGUUUUACACACGUAUUUAUUGCAUUUAUCGCAUUUAUCAUUCACUGAAGUUAUGCUCUGACCUACCUUAUCCCAGGAGCUUUUCAAGUGAAUUUACAAGCAGCUGCCACCUUUUUUUUAAUUCUUGUCUUUGUCUGCUUUCUGAUGCUGAGCUCUGGUAAGUAUCAUCUGUUAAUAUCUAACAGUAUGGGGUGUUAACCAGCAUGCAUUUCAGGACCCAGGUUCAAUAUUUACAAAAUCAGUGGUCCUUUAUCAGCACAUAUCUCUGUUUCCAGCCCAAGGAUUACACCACUUUGCUGUCUAGUUUAUACAGACAGGUGAAGCAGCCAGGAAAAGUGAUUGAGAGAAGAGCAAAGGUAAUCAUGGAAAGAGAAAACCUAAUUAAAUGCUUUAUGGGAAAGGUUCCAAAACAUGGAGCUAGCAUCCACUGCAGUAUACCUAAAGCAGAAGCAGAUAGGAUGUUUUUUGCCAAUUGAUUUGUGAGUGAUGGAUCAGGUUUAUUGAAAACAAAGAAGCAGUCAUCCUGUUAACAAGAGAGGAAUUAUCCUAUUGAGAAAGAAAAAGAACAGAACAGUGAGAGCACAGAGCAUCCAGGCAAUGGGAAGCUUUAGGAGUCCCAUCAGUGAGAAAUAGCCAAUGUCAUGAAGCCUGAAGUGAGGCCAUAUGGGAUCUAUUUCAUUAGACUGUUGAAGUGAAAAGAUAUUCACUCUCUGGGUUGUGAAACUAAUAAAUACAAAUUUAAGUUCCAGUUUUAAUUCUCCAGAAUAUUUUUCAGAAAAUUUAGCAAAUGCCUUCAUAAACUUAAGGACUGGGCUCAUAAUAAAAUAAUGUAACUUAUUCCAGUUAGAAAGAAACACACAAAAUGUCCAGUAAAAGAAACCAGAUUUCUGCACCCUAUAAGUGUUGCAGAAAUUAAAAUUAUCCUUUUUUGAAGUGCUUAUGGAGAGCUUUUGCCUUGCAGUUCUUGAUAAAGGAAGAUGGAGAGACCAAUUCAGCACAUGGUGGGUCUAUAAGGCAUAAUCUAGUUUAAAUUGUACCACAUCAUAAGACUAAAAUUUAAAAUGUCAUGAAAAUUCAUCUUUUUCCUCCUGUAGAAAAUUCUAGACACAAACCACAGUGAAGACAACAUCUGAACACUGAGAGACAGUAGCUGACACUGCUGAAUGCACAACUUUCUCCAGCAAGGUCAUGGACACGCUGGAAAAUUUUGCUUCUAUAAAUUUUAUUGACUUUCAGUUUCUGAUAACACUAAGUGAAAGCACACUGAACUCUGGCAUUGUGCCACAAGAGACUAUUUAAUUCUGACAGCCAAACCCCACAGUUUGCUGAGUCACAGAAAACUCACAGUAAUAAGUCUGUGUAAAUGAAAGGCACCUUUUGUCAAAGACAACUUUGUAAUGUAACUUUGACCAGACUUCAGUUUAUUUUCUGUCCUUCCUACAGGGGAAUAUAAUCAGAAUAUAACUUUCAGAGAAAAAUGCAGGUUCUGUAUGUGAAAUUGUUUGAAAACCUUCCAGUUUCCCCUGGCUCAUAACCAUUCCUUAGUUUCCCUAGUGUCUCUAUGGGGAAAGGAAUAAAACAGCUCCAGGAGUAAUACAAUUUAAUUCCACUUGUUCUUGUUGCAUGGUCACAGGUCACACACUGUCAGUAUGCUUUGGUGGAAUGAAGAAAAUGUAGAAUAUAGUGACUUUAUAAAUACAUUUUCCUUUUUGCUUGCACGACUUUGAUUUCCUUAUGACAGAGGGUGACCCAAAUUGUAUUCCUCAGUAGGAAUAGAUAACACUGUGAGAAACAGCUACUGCCCAGAGGUGUGCAGCUCCGUCACCAGAUGCAACCAGGCUGUAAAGUUUCUCCAGUGACCAGCAUCCUGUGAUUCCCCAGGGCCCAGAAAGAUACAAUGCUUGACACACAGGGAAGCUGCUGAAAGGUCACACUCACAGUAACACCUCACCAGGUACCAGAAACCAGCCUGACAGAGAAGCCCCUCUUCACCUGGAGCACAAGGUCACUCCACAGGAAUAGAAGGACACUACAGAAGGACUACACACUGAUGAACUCCAGGACAAUUUUUAAACCUUUCUGAACAUGGCAGUUUGGGAGAUUACAGCAGGGAGCCCAUCCUGAAAGGGACACUCUGCUAUGCAUCUUCAGUAAACUCCUCACAUGAAAAUGUGGGCUGGUCAGAGGCAAAGAGUAGAGAGCCUCAGUCACCCAGGUGGUCACAGAUUCUAAGUGAUACCUGCAGUUUUCCCAGAAGCUCUCAGAGAAGUCUGCAGGCAGGAGCCAGGCAUGUAAAAUCAGUCUGCAGUGCUCACAAGGCUGGCAACUCAUCUGCAGCAGGGACGUCACGGGGAUCUGAAGGCAAAUCACCCUGGGCUCUGCCAAGGGCUCUCCUGCUGUCUCUUAGCUUUGUGAGGAAAUAAAACACUUCAAACAGCAGGAGCCUCACAGAGAGAGCAGCAACUGAAGGGACCAAACCUCAGGGUCACUCAGGUGAUGGGAAGUGACUGUGCUCUGCUACCUUCACCUCUCUGCAGGUUUGGCAGAGAAAAACUGUCCUUCCAUUGGAAUGGUUUCAAGGAUUACAAAUAAGGAAACACUCAAAACACCCCAGCUGAUCAUGAAAGAAGCCACAGAGACAGGGGUGAGUAAAAACUGUCCACUCGGGGAAAAAAAAUAUUUUUCAUGUAGUUUAACCUAUAUUGUGAAUUUCUAAUGUUCUGAAUAUGCUAUGAGUCAAGGGAUGUUUUCUUUCAGAAGACAAUGAAAUUUCAAGGCCUGUGAAGGAGAAAUCACAUGGUUACUAUGAUGGCUUGGAUCUGAUCCAUUAUUUGCAUGGAAUUUCCCUUGGGAAUAUAAUAUAAUAAAAUUCCAAUAAAUGUGAUGGACAUGGAAGAUAUCCACAAAGAGAAAUGCCUGUCUCCCCAGAACGUAUAAAAUGCCAGGAUGGGUGAAUCUUUGUAUCAAUCUCUUUCAUCUUCAAGAUUAGCAAGACUAGGGUGUGAACUUUUAGCAGUUUUAGAGUUUCUACAAUAAAACAUGUGAAACUCUAGAAGAAACAUGAAUAUAUAUUAACAGGACACCAUGAACCAGCAAAAUCUGAGUAACAACACACAUAUCCAAAAAUGCUGUCCCCAGCACAGUACUUCCACCAGCUUCUUUCAGUCCCAGUAAAACCUGGCCUGUACCUAAGUAUGAGAAUUGUAUUUACUCAAACCAUAUAUAAUUUCAAGUAGUGUAAUCUUGUUGGGUUUUGUAUUCUGUUGUUGACAUCUUACUUCAAAAGUUCCAUACCUUCUUGGUGAUUUUAUCACGUGCAGCUCCACACAACACUGACUCCCUCUUCAGCACAGCCAACAAACUCCCUCUCCCUCCUCACCCAGCUACCCC